GUUCAUUCUACACCAGGACAUUAAUGUUCAGCUUUGUACAUCUUGCUUUAACUUUUUCAGCCUCAGAGCAAAUUCCACUUGGUGGCGGAGUCAACUGGGCAACUUGUGAGCCUGCUGGCCCAGAAGUGCCGCAGCGUAGCCCUGUUGACUCUCCCAACGGUGGCCAGGUUUUCGCCAGAUUGUGGCGUCAACCGCAAAGUGGCGGACUUCAAUGAACGUCUCCGACGUUUGGCUCGAAGGUACCCACAGUGCAUAAUUAUUGAAACCGAAGAAAUGUGCAAGGAUAGCCAAGGCCAAGUACUGCUCAAGUUCUAUCAAGC